UUCAGGCUGCAUUGUGCGUAAGUUCUAAGUAAGUUUUAACCUUUGAGCUGUAACAGGGAGUUUUAAAUAAAAGCGGGAUUGUUAUGCCUCUGUCAUCUUGACAAGGAGGACGCACAUGAAGGCUUUUGCGAACACCCACUUUGAGAAGUGGUGGUUUAAAAACUUUCUUAAUUCAACUACGGCAAAAGCGGCUUGAGC
rnacentral:other from 1 species